GUCCCUGUAGCGUAAUGGAUAGCGCGCGCGUUGAGCUUCUAAUUCAAAGGUCGUGAUUUCGAAUCCCACCUGGGAUG